GAGUUUGAUCAUGGCUCAGGAUGAACGCUGGCGGCGUGCCUAACACAUGCAAGUCGAACGGGUGUACAGAAGGGAAGAUUUCGGUCGGAAGAUCUGUGCAUGAGUGGCGGACGGGUGAGUAACGCGUGGGGCAACCUGGCCUGUACAGGGGGAUAACACUUAGAAAUAGGUGCUAAUACCGCAUAACGGGGGAAGCCGCAUGGCUUUUUCCUGAAAACUCCGGUGGUACAGGAUGGGCCCGCGUCUGAUUAGCCAGUUGGCAGGGUAACGGCCUACCAAAGCGACGAUCAGUAGCCGGCCUGAGAGGGCGGACGGCCACACUGGGACUGAGACACGGCCCAGACUCCUACGGGAGGCAGCAGUGGGGGAUAUUGCACAAUGGGGGAAACCCUGAUGCAGCGACGCCGCGUGAGUGAGGAAGUAUUUCGGUAUGUAAAGCUCUAUCAGCAGGGAAGAAAAUGACGGUACCGACUAAGAAGCCCCGGCUAACUACGUGCCAGCAGCCGCCGUAAG
rnacentral:rRNA from 1 species